rnacentral:rRNA from 1 species
UACAGAGGGGGCAAGCGUUGUUCGGAAUUACUGGGCGUAAAGGGCGCGUAGGCGGCCGCCUAAGUCAGACGUGAAAUCCCUCGGCUCAACCGGGGAACUGCGUCUGAUACUGGAUGGCUUGAAUUCGGGAGAGGGAUGCGGAAUUCCAGGUGUAGCGGUGAAAUGCGUAGAUAUCUGGAGGAACACCGGUGGCGAAGGCGGCAUCCUGGACCGAGAUUGACGCUGAGGCGCGAAAGCCAGGGGAGCAAACGGG